AUUUUGAUCAAAUAAUGCAGGGUUUCUUCUAUGAAGACUAGUGAACCUACUGUUAAUGGUGGAACUCAUGCAAUUCAAGGAAUUCCAACAGGAUUGGACUUGAAGAGUUAUUCAGAAACCCCCAUAUCACCAUCAAAGUUGUUUGAAGUAGUUGCUGAUGACCUGCAGACACUCAACAAAAAUCUUCAAUCGAUUGUAGGUGCAGAAAAUCCAGUUUUAAUGUCUGCAGCUGAGCAUAUAUUUAGUGCCGGUGGGAAGAGGAUGAGACCGGCUCUGGUGUUCUUGGUGUCACGGGCUACAGCAGAGCUACUUGGCUUGAAAUAAGAGCUAGCCUAAAUGAGCAUUUUGGUUCCUGCAGGGAAAUCUCGAGCGUGUCAGUCCCAAAAGAUUUAGAGUCUGGAGGUCCUAAAUGUUUUGCCUACAUCGACUUCAAGGAUUCUUCUAGCAUGAAGAGAGCUCUAGAACUCAAAUGAAACUGAACUUGCUGCUUGAGAAUGAGGACAUGCUCUAUCUACUUUCUAUUGAU